ACCCGUGCGGCGGCGGCCGCCGCUCCCCUCUGCCCCCUCCCCGACCCCCGCGCAGUUCCAUCUUCUCCCGGGCCCAAGCCAAGACCGCUCGUCCUACCGGGCAGUCCUUGCGCCUGCGCAAUAAGGAGCCCUGCACUCCACACCCUCUAAAGGAAACGCCUGGGUCUCAGAACGCAUGCGUGUUCGGAAUCCUAAACAACCCCUUCCACCUCAGACGCCGUCAGUACGCCAGGCGUUGAAAAGACCACGCCGCUAGAUCACU
rnacentral:lncRNA from 1 species